GGCGUUGUGGCGCAAUGGUAGCGCGUCUGACUACGAAUCAGGAGGUUGCAGGUUCGAGACCUGCCAUCGUCA